GGCAUUUUAUGAGCUUAUAAUAUUUUUAUUUCAAUUUUGCCCGACCCAACUGGCAUUCUAUGAAAAGUCAAAAUUUUAGAGACCUAAAAUGGUAAGAGUGGUAAGCUGUUGCUAUUUUUUCAACCUGCGCGAAGGAUGCUUUAUAGCUGGUAUAUGGCUGGUAUUGUACUAUUCACUAUUUACAUAUCUUAUGUAUUACCAAGAGAAGCAUUCUACGAAAGCGAAAUUUAAUGUAAGAACUCAGAGAUACGACAAGGAAACAUAUCCUUUUUUGGUGCUGGGCACAGUAUUUAUCUUAUUGAGCUUAAUAAGUUCAUUUUUGGUAAUUGGAGCCUAUUUGAGGAAAACCUGGCCUAUUUUACUAUUUUUGCUGGGACAUAUUAUUCCGUUAUCUGUGAAAUUCUUUUAUUUGCUGGUUGCCAUAAUUUUUGGUAUUAAUUUUGAAAGCACUGUAAUGUAUUUAUUACCAUUUUUGCUUCUGAUGUAUAUCGAUCUGAUCGCUUAUUCCUUUUAUCAUGAAUUGAAAGGUACAAGAAGGAAAACAUCUGUGUCAUUAAUACAUGUAGAAUAUUGACAUUAUUUAUCUAAAUUAUCGUUUAUGAAUUAAUUUUGUGUAUUUGCAAGUUGAGAAGAAUCGUUUAAACAUUUUAUUUGGCCAACAAUUUUUUUUGCUUCUUUAUGUGAUCUUUUCUUUCAGAAAGAAAAUUCCAGAGUCCAAGAUUUGCUUACACUAAAUUCGUAGUCAGUGCUUAAUCCAAACAAAAUACAAAAUCAAUUAAGAAGGUCAAAUUGCAUUAUAUCAAUGGAAACAGUUGCUUGAUGGCUUAAAUAGCUUGUGAAUUUUGGAGAAACUUACAAAACUUUGCCAGUGACCCUCGUGUGUAGACGCAAAUACUUUUGGAUGAGGAAAGACUUGGUCCAGCAAGACAGAUUACGAUUGCGAUGUCUGCGGCCGGCGGACAUGUACAACACUUAGCUCUACAAGGCGUUGCGGAAAAUACGCAGCGCUUUUCCCUGCUUUGCCGGCAUGAAAUUUUCCGCCGAGUUACCUCAUGUUUUGGCCUGGGCCCCGCCGCGUGCUUUUAUUUCCCUCUUGACAUAACUGGAGCGUUUUGGGCAUAGCACAGUAUGCAAAGCAGCCGCCUCAACCUGAUUUGGCAGCCCGUCGACCCCACUUGGGCGCUCUGUCUAACAAAAUGCCCGGCCGCUUGUCUCGGCCAUUUGCAUUUCGAUCUCUGGCGGCUAACUGGCAACUGGCAACUGGCCGGGCCAGGCCAAAACAAAUCCUAUCGUAAUAAA